UUUAGUACUAAUAUUGUACAAUUUAUUUCUUUUCAGGUACCCCCGCCAGAAGGACGGAAGGACCGAGUUGCUGGAGUCCUCGAGAGUCAUUGGAGGUGAGUAUUAGAUGUGUUUGGCAGGGAAUUUGCUACGGACGCUGGAUGCGCGCCACUUGCAACAUUUAUGUCCGGAUAGCGUUGCAGGUCAGCUUUGCCGGUCGUCAUUGUUGUGGAGGGAUCUGUCUCGUUUUGGCAGAGGCGUCGUCAGUUUAGAUUGCGGCUUGGUCGUUCAACGAGAGUAGCUAGGUGCGCCGCGUCUUGUUGCCAUUUCGCCAGGUUUGGCAGCUUGGAGCCUCCGGAACAGGAUUAGUUGCCGAGGCCGUCGCAACGAUUGGGGCCAUGGAAAUGUGUGAAAAUAGAGAUUGGGUGAGUAUUUAUUGUUAUGAUAGUGUAAUUUUGUGUUUUUUCAGGAAAUUAAUGGGAGGUAAGUAGAAGGUAAGUAUUGUGUUUAUAAUUGUUUGUUAUUAUUAUUAAUGCAUUUAUUUUGGUUUUGAUUUCAGGUACAUUAGGUGGAAGCUGAUCUGGUGGUGAGUUUUCCAAUUGUUUUUUGCAAUUUGUUUGCUUGUUUAUAUGAUUAAUGCCUUUAUUUUGAUUUUGAUUUCAGGUACAUUAGGAGGAAGCUAAUCUGGUGGUGAGUAUUCUAAUUGUUUUUUUUGGUUUUUUGUAAUUUGUUUGUUUGUUUUUAUAAUUAAUGCAUUUAUUUUUGGUUUUAAUUUCAGGUACAUUAGGUGGAAGCUAAUCUGGUGGUGAGUGUUCUAAUAGUUUUUUUUUUUUUUUUGGUUGUAUUAACAUUUUGUUUUUUCAGGAACGUUUUGUAACUAAUUUGGAGGCCCUUUGUUUUUGGAACAUAGCAACAGGAGAGCCGCGGGCUUAGUGUCGUCGAGUUGGCAAUUAGAUAAGUGUUUUGUUAAAGUUCGUAAAUCCCAGUAUUAGCUUGUGCUUCCUUGUUUCAGAGUUUACGAGCUUGAAAGAAGCAUUUGCGUGCUUAUUGUCAGCGGGAUAGAGUCGCCUGUUGGCGUCUAUUUAUUUGACUGUCUGGUUUGUUAAUUUAUAUUUGUCCUUAAUUAAAUUUUCUUUUGUAUCAUAUUCUUAUUAAUUUCCCUUCGUUGUAGGUUUUCGGAAAAUUCGUGGAUGAUGCGAUACUGAGGAAAAGUAUACAAUUUGGGAACAAAUAGUGCGAUUGAUUUGUGUGGCGUCAGCUCCGCGCUAGUGAUCCUUAUUGGAGUAGUGGCAUCAGGAGGUGGAGACGGCAUCGUAAUGUUGUCGAUUUUUUUGUGUUAAAAGGCAAAAAGUUGGCUAUUUUGUAUUACGUUUGAUGGAGCCGUCUCCUCUUGUCUAGUGCAUAGGAUGUGGGUUUUAGCGUCAACUCGCUGUUGGCGCUCGUCAAGCUGGAAAUUUAUGGGAGCAGCAGAGUGUCCUGUUCGACGAGGUGGAAGCGUUGUUGGCCCGUCUUUUGCAGAGCAUCAAUUUGUGUAGAUUUCAGCGUUGAUAAUAGAUACUUCAAAGGACCGUGCGGCAAAAAUUUCAGGCUCUGGUUGGUUUUUUCCGUAUCGUAUCGUCAGGAUCAGCUGGAGUGCGUUGUCGUAGGCUUGUUUAUUUUUUUUUUUUUUUUUUUUAAUAUUUUCAGCGUAUGGUGACGCUGUCAUUUUAUUGUCCUUUGAUUUUUGCUUAAAAAUAUACAGAGACAAUUUGUGGCAAAUUACAUUUUCGGAUUUUUUUUUGGCUGCAGAAUGCGUGCCAUAAUUACAAGUAUUUAUAAUUUAAAUUUACAGGAGAUAUUUUUGAAAAAUUUGGCGGCUUUUUGCGCGCCUUGUUUUUGAAAUAUG